rnacentral:rRNA from 1 species
GCGAGGGGGGAGUGUCAAUGGCCUAACGGCUGAACCAGCAACUUGGGGGAAUGUAUUUCGAUUAUGUCGUAUAAAGUUCUAGAUARAUUGAUGAUAAUGACAAUUUUCUAUCUAUAUGUCUUGACCAAAUCUUGUGCCAGCAGUCGCGGCAAGACAAGAGAGACUAGUGUUAUUCAUCUUUAUUAGGUUUAAAGGGUACCUAGACUGUAAAUUUAGCCCCUAAAGGGUACGUAUUUGCUAGAGUUAUUUGUGAGAGGAAUAUAGCAGAACUAUUGGUGUAAAGAUGAAAUUUUUUAAUACCAAUAUAACGGGUAACGGCGAAGGCAACCCUUUAUGUGAUAACUGACGUUGAGGGACGAAGGCUCAGGGAGCGAAGAGGAUUAGAUACCCCCGUAGUCUGGGCAGACAAUUAUGAGUGUCAUAGACUUAAGGCCAACUAGUAAAACUAAAUUGCUUUUUUUUUGCUAGUCGGUGGGGUCUAUAAAUGAAAAUGUAAGCACUCCACCUCAAGAGUAAUGUGGCAACGCAGGAACUGAAAUCAUUAGACCGUUUCUGAAACCAGUAGUGAAGUAUGUUAUUUAAUUCGAUGAUCCUCGAAAAACCUUACCAUAAUUUGUAUGUCAAUCUUAUAUUGAUACAAGCGUUGCAUGGCUGUCUUCAGUUAAUGUCGUGAGAUUUGGUUAGUUCCAUUAAAUUAACGUAAACCCUUGCUUUAUUUAGAUUUAUAUAGCAGCUCGCCGCGACAAUUGGGUGUGACAACAGGGACUAAGACAAGUCAUCAUGGCCUGAAUAUUAUGGGC